GCCCGUAUGGCUCAGUGGUUAGCGCGUUGGUCUUGUAUUACAAGUAAACCAAAGGUCCUCGGUUCAAAUCCGAGUUCGGGCA